rnacentral:lncRNA from 1 species
AGUUUUCAUGCAAUGUAAAACCCAUGUAUACUGUAACAUAGUAUAACAGGCAUUUCUAAAUGACAAUUAAAAUGACCCAUUUAUAUAAAAAAUAACAUCUUAGCUCCUCUUCUAUGCUUACUAGUCCAAAAUAAGAAUCAUAGUGAAACAUUUAACCAUGUUUGCAAAUAGCAUAUUAGGAGGUACAAUUUAAACUGUAUUUUUGUGUGUUUUAUUUUAGAACAACAUUUUUUUUUUUUUUUGGGGUGGAUGGCCAGUGUUUCUCCGGUGCGUGGAGGCGGGGUGNNNNNNNNNNUCGCCCAGGCUGGAGUGCAGUGGCGCCAUCUCCACUCAUUGCAAGCUCCGCCUCCCAGGUUCAAGCCAUUCUCCUGCCUCAGCCUCCCAAGUAGCUGGGACUACAGGCACCCGCCACCACGCCCGGCUAAUUUUUUGUAUUUUUAGUAGAGAUGGGGUUUCACCGUGUUAGCCAGGAUGGUCUUGAUCUCCUGACCUCGUGAUCCACCUGCCUCAGCCUCCCAAAGUGCUGGAAUUACAGGCGUGAGCCACUGCGCCUGGCCUAGAAUAACCUUUUAUUAAACUAUAUUUCUACAUUUCAACGCUAAGUUUAUAUUUCUAAAAUACUUAUUGUGUCAAUGCAUUUCAGAUUUUGCAAUAUUUCAGUGUUUGCUCAAAGCCUUUACUUUAAGAGAUGAUCUGAUAUUGCUCGUGUAUCUGAAAUCAGACAGAUGAAUAGCAAGA